GUUGCUUCUUAUGGUGAACUCUCUCGUAGUAAUACAAAAAGAAUGAGGGAUGUUCAAGUUUCCGAAGCAUAAAUCAAAAUGUCAGUAUUAAACAGCGUGGUGCACUUUCAAUUGCAUCUUGCUACCUGUCUCCUGCUACAUUA
rfam:Nicotiana attenuata strain TT scaffold03599, whole genome shotgun sequence.